rnacentral:rRNA from 1 species
AGAGUUUGAUCAUGGCUCAGAACGAACGCUGGCGGCGUGGAUAAGACAUGCAAGUCGAACGCUAAUUAGAGGGUAGCAAUAUUCUCUAGUUGGAGUGGCGCAAGGGUGCGUAACACGUGGGUAAUCUGCCGUGAAGACUGGGAUAACUCGCUGAAAAGGCGAGCUAAUACCGGAUGAGACUGUUGGGAAGCAUUUUCCGACAUUGGAAGCUGGGGACCGCAAGGCCUGGCACUUCACGAUGAGCCCGCGGCCUAUCAGCUAGUUGGUGAGGUAACGGCCCACCAAGGCUAAGACGGGUAGCUGGUCUGAGAGGACGACCAGCCACACUGGAACUGAGACACGGUCCAGACACCUACGGGUGGCAGCAGUCGAGAAUUUUUCACAAUGGGCGCAAGCCUGAUGGAGCGACGCCGCGUGGGGGAUGAAGGGUUUCGAUCCGUAAACCCCUGUCAUUUGCGAACAAACCUUAACCGCUAACACCGGUUGAGCUGAUUGUAGUGAAAGAGGAAGGGACGGCUAACUCUGUGCCAGCAGCCGCGGUAAUACAGAGGUCCCAAGCGUUGUUCGGAUUUACUGGGCGUAAAGGGUGCGUAGGUGGCCAGGUAAGUUCGAUGUGAAAGCCCGAAGCUUAACUUCGAAAUGGCAUUGAAUACUAUCUGGCUAGAGGGUCGGAGGGGAGACUGGAAUUCUCGGUGUAGCAGUGAAAUGCGUAGAUAUCGAGAGGAACACCAGUGGCGAAGGCGAGUCUCUGGACGACACCUGACACUGAGGCACGAAAGCCAGGGACAAACGGAUUAGAUACCCUAGUAGUCC